rnacentral:rRNA from 1 species
UGGGGAAUUUUGGACAAUGGGCGCAAGCCUGAUCCAGCCAUGCCGCGUGAGUGAAGAAGGCCUUCGGGUUGUAAAGCUCUUUCAGCCGGAAAGAAAUCGUGCAGAUUAAUACUCUGUAUGGAUGACGGUACCGGAAGAAGAAGCACCGGCUAACUACGUGCCAGCAGCCGCGGUAAUACGUAGGGUGCGAGCGUUAAUCGGAAUUACUGGGCGUAAAGCGUGCGCAGGCGGUUUUGUAAGACAGGCGUGAAAUCCCCGGGCUUAACCUGGGAACUGCGUUUGUGACUGCAAGGCUAGAGUAUGGCAGAGGGGGGUAGAAUUCCACGUGUAGCAGUGAAAUGCGUAGAGAUGUGGAGGAAUACCGAUGGCGAAGGCAGCCCCCUGGGUCAAUACUGACGCUCAUGCACGAAAGCGUGGGGAGCAAACAGGAUUAGAUAUCCUGGUAGUCCACGCCCUAAACGAUGUCAACUAGGUGUUGGGGGAGGAGACUUCCUUAGUACCGCAGCUAACGCGUGAAGUUGACCGCCUGGGGAGUACGGCCGCAAGGUUG